UAACAUAAUCUUUUCUCUAGUAAUCUUGUUUAAAGUGUUUAAUGUUAAUUAGGAAGACAUGAAAGUAACUUAUUAAUGUUUGUUGUAGUUGUAUCAAAUAAAAUGCUUAAUAUUGUUGUUGUUGUUGUUGAAAUUUAGUAUUUAACGAUUCUAUUAGUUUUGUUUAUUUUUUUUAUAUUUUUUUUGUUGUUGUUAUUGUUGUUGAGAUUUAAUGUUUAAAGAUUCCAUGAAUUUUGUUGUUGUUGUUAUU
rnacentral:lncRNA from 1 species